GCAAAAUGCAACAGGUGUAGAUGUUUUUCUUGAAUGUUGUCGAUGUCUCAACCUUUAUGAGAUGGAUUACUUUGGUUUGGAAUAUUACACAAAGGGAGAUCAUCUGGUUUGGCUAGAACCUGAGAAACCUGUUCUCAAACAAGUUGCAGGGACCUGAUUCAGCAUUGAAUGAUAGGCCAAUGUGGUCAGUUUGACCACUACCAUAAUAGAUGACCAUUAAUCAGAAGGGCGAGGACUCCUCAAAAUUUAGGAGUCAAUGACAUCUUGAGUUUAUGAAAUGUGUGAAUCAGAGACCCUCACAUACAGUACAUGUGUAUGUAUAGCCAUUGGUGCCAAUGCAACAAAGAAAUAUCACAUCUUCAUAUUUUAGCCUUAGGGAUGAAAGUCAUUACUCUUGUGACAAAAAAAAAGAUAAUAAUAUAAGAUUCCAUUAAUAGCACCUUGCGGUGUGCGUAUUAAUGAACAUUAUUGUGUUGUACAAUGUUUUCUGUGCAGUCAAACUUUACAUGUAUAGAUGUUUUUCCAUAUCUUUUGGAGCUCUAUCCUAUGCUGAGUUGCAUCAUCUGUUGACCAUUAGCACAUCUCUCAACACUCUCUGCCUGCCCCACCCCACACCUCUCUCAUUAGUCUGCACAUGCAGACCCAAUUUGGACAUUUGAAUAUAAUUUAAUGAAGUCUUGAGCCUAGUCUAGCUUUGCCUGUCAUUGCUCAUGUCAUGGACAGUUGAGAGUUCAGAGGUUAUAAAAGGACAAGAUAUGAGCAAGAGACUGCCUCUGAAGUGUACUUGUAGUCUCAAAACGAGACUCUUUGUAAUGUUCUCUAAACGACAAAGGUUUGAACCAGCAAACUACAACCCAUCCUCGCAGUCACAUGACUGCAUAGGAGUGUUCACUCUAAACACACCAUAAUGAGGAUCUGUAAUUAAAUUGCACUCUAUAAUAAUGUCAUUAACCAGGAUGGGACUGCCUGAUUCUCCUCUACCACUGGCCGAUUUUCUGCAAGGCUUCACAAAUUGAUUUCCAAGGCCUGCGCGCCCCUUAAUGCCCCUCCACGAUUCCACACCCAUUCACUCACACAGUCUGCUGCGUAAUAUCGUUCCU